rnacentral:rRNA from 1 species
AGAGUUUGAUCAUGGCUCAGAGCGAACGCUGGCGGCAGGCUUAACACAUGCAAGUCGAGCGGGCGUAGCAAUACGUCAGCGGCAGACGGGUGAGUAACGCGUGGGAACGUACCUUUUGGUUCGGAACAACCCAGGGAAACUUGGGCUAAUACCGGAUAAGCCCUUACGGGGAAAGAUUUAUCGCCGAAAGAUCGGCCCGCGUCUGAUUAGCUAGUUGGUGAGGUAAUGGCUCACCAAGGCGACGAUCAGUAGCUGGUCUGAGAGGAUGAUCAGCCACAUUGGGACUGAGACACGGCCCAAACUCCUACGGGAGGCAGCAGUGGGGAAUAUUGGACAAUGGGCGCAAGCCUGAUCCAGCCAUGCCGCGUGAGUGAUGAAGGCCCUAGGGUUGUAAAGCUCUUUUGUGCGGGAAGAUAAUGACGGUACCGCAAGAAUAAGCCCCGGCUAACUUCGUGCCAGCAGCCGCGGUAAUACGAAGGGGGCUAGCGUUGCUCGGAAUCACUGGGCGUAAAGGGUGCGUAGGCGGGUCUUUAAGUCAGGGGUGAAAUCCUGGAGCUCAACUCCAGAACUGCCUUUGAUACUGAAGAUCUUGAGUUCGGGAGAGGUGAGUGGAACUGCGAGUGUAGAGGAGAAAUUCGUAGAUAUUCGCAAGAACACCAGUGGCGAAGGCGGCUCACUGGCCCGAUACUGACGCUGAGGCACGAAAGCGUGGGGAGCAAACAGGAUUAGAUACCCUAGUAGUCC